UGAAGGUUUCUGUAUCCCCUAUACGUCACAAUUAAAAGGUUUUAUGGAGAGAUUUAACUCCAAGCAUAAAGAAGUGGAAAUACUCCAUAACCCCACUAAAAUCUACUGGGAUGAAGAAGUCUUCAGGAAGGGCAAAUGAAGAAAACAAAGCUAUUUUAGGACACAAAUAGUAUAUGUGCAUGAGAGACAGUUUGUCACUGGUCCUCAGUGCUACCCCUGGCUCAGGAGGUCCUGUAGCUGCAGAGCACAGGCAGCUGAAGACAGGGCACCAAGAAACAUCAUUAUCUAAUGGUUUAUUUCUGAUACUCUACUCCAGGCAUCAGCUACUGUCAUAUACUGGAUUCUGAGUGAAGUGGCUCUUGAGUCUCACCCAGAGCAGCUGUUUGGGUGGUGGUCACAUCCUGCUUUCCUGGAAGACAGCUCUGACUACAUGAGCUGGAAAGGAAACAUCUCAGUCCAAGAUGAAACACUGUAAGUGGUUUGUACUGACUGCUAUCUAUAAGUGUGUGUUUACCUUUGACAUUUCCAAGAAAAUGAUGCUGAAAUCAGGUCUGCAACUGCUUACCUGCAUUUGCAGUUACUGAACAUGUGAUUUUUGAGGAAAACUGACCAAUUGAUGCCAAUUUUCCCUUAUUUUAAAGUAAGAAGACAAACUGGGAAGGCAUCUCUAACACACUCUGCAUGGCUAUGAACAAUAAUCUCUGCGAUGCAGCAGCACUCAGGUGAGGGAGAGGGUGUGAAGCCCCGUCUCAGUCAUGCACUCAUCCCAGCAAAGGCACAGACCCCAUCUCCAGUUGGGUGACAAGCUGUCUGAAUGCCACUGUGAGAGGAAACCCAGGCCUGAAAUGGUCUCCCUGUCUCACUUUGUGCGGCACCAUACUUAUCAUUUGAUGCAAUUAUGUCAUUAACUAAUUUGCAAAUUUGCAUAGAACCAUUAAUUUAAUCUUUAAAUAAAUAGUAUGGAUUUAGCACUGGUGAAAGCGAUCCAGAUUAACUGCUCAGUGAAUGAAGCCCCCUGCUUAUCUGUGAGACAGCAGCAGGACAAGCUUUAUCCACACACUGCCCUGCCAGCAGACUGCAACGUUGAUUUGACAGAUACACGCACAGCUUCAUCUGAGGACUCUGAGGAAGGAGCUCAGCUCCACGGCUCAGGCACCUCGCCAUUUCUCUUGGGCCAAUUAGUGCACAUAAAGGCAGAAAGUUUGCAAGGAGGGUGACUGGAACCGAGCCUUGCUGCUUGAAUUUCAAGAUCGUCGGAAUUAAAGUGAUGAGCAAGUUGUCACAGGGAGCCAGAAAUGGCCCCUCUACAAAACAAGUGCUAUGCAGCUGUGAGCAGCCACAGCAGAAUAACGCUUUUACACAUCCUCCCGCUGCCUUAUUGUCCUAUGCCACCCACCUCACCGGAGCUAUUUAUACCCUGCUCCACACAAGAUGCUCACACCUCCUUAGAGACGGGGAAGACAGACAAGGCAUCUGAUGGGUGCAUUAUGACAGCUCAACUGAUCGGAUUACCCUGGCUGCUGGGGAGCUGCCCCCGCAGCCACUGCUCUCUUGCCAGUUGCACAGAGAAGCAGCAGUUGGGUUGAGGAAGGGCAGAAGAUCCAUAGAUAGCUGCCUGCUGGCAGAUGGAGAUGGAUUCCCUCAUCUACAUGUAAUAGCUGGGUGGACUGACAGCUAACAGCUCUUCUCCCUUCAGCUGGAAAAAACACAGGGCACGAGGAGGAGGAUCCAUGCUCUUGCUCCAGUGCAUUCAUGAAAUUCCAGGGCAUCGACAUAACCAUGACAACUACUGCUCAGCAAUCACAGCCGUGAGGACUAGGAGACAGCUGUGGCCAGCCAUGAGGAAUGGCAGACAAAACCAGAGGAAGAAAAUUAACAGGAAGGGAGUGAAGUCACAGCGUGUGCUGUGAAAACAGACCCGGCUUCCUCGCACCGCUGCCGAGGAGGCGUGCUCAGUGGCAGGGCACACCUGGACCAGCCAGUUGGCUCUCGGCUGCACUUGUUAUUCUCUGCAACCUUUCAGCAUGACUCUUGACAGAAAAAUUACCAAAUGCAAUGCACUUGUGACUUAGUUAAUUUGCACCUGUAUCUAAUUUCAGACUUGCUAGAAUAAAGAGCUGUUCCAUAAUCAAAACAGGAGGAAAAAAAAUAAAAAAUAAUAAAGUCAAGUCUGCUACGCACCAGCAUCCAUGGUGGAAACUGUCCCUGCUAUAUGCAGAGCCUGGUGCAGAAGCUUUGCACUGCUGGCAGACAUGGCAAAGAAGGGACGAGCUCUCCAUGAUGAGGGCCUAUCCGCCUCGCGUCCUGCAGUCUCCUCCCUGGACGGACCCCCCUGCAAUGUCUCCAGACACCCAUUGCAUCCUGAUGGCCCCAUACCACAUGAACUAGCUGCAACCCUGCCCAGAGGCUGUCACACAAGCCCCUAUCAUGCUACAUCCUCCCAACCCAUCCCCAGCCUCCUUCCUACAGCCCACCUUCCCUCAAUGGCUCCCGUUGUUCUUUUGUCACAGUCGCCCGGCUCCCACCCCGGUGAGAGCAGUGACUAACCCCUGCCACCUCCUCCCUGCGGGGAGCUGGAGGCCGUAUGGAUACACACACAGCACAGAGAAGCCUGCACUUUUCCCCUCUGGAAAACCAUAAGCCUACAAUAAAGCUGCAUGGGGAAAGCAAAUCAGGACAUAAAACAUUUGAGAUCUUCAGAUGAAAGGGGUUAGUACAUCAUUAACAUCAAUUUCUUUGCCUGAGACACAUGUUAAGCACAGGACUGGGAAUAUGUAAGUCUGAUGUUUCAACCUUGGCUUUCUCACUGACCCCUCAUCUCUAACCCUGGUCAUGCAUUUUAAUACCAUUGCCUCCAUUUCGUUUCUGAAGGAAGAUGAUCCUAACUGCCCUGCCUUGCAAGGCUGCUGCAAUUGUGUAAUUAGGUACGGCCUGUGGGUCACCGUAAAUGUAAAGAGCAAUAUGUAAGCAUUAUCUAUUUAUAAUAGCUUCAAAACUGUGUCCUAUGACAGCGGGUGUACCACUGCAAUGUGCUCCCUGAGGAAAUCAGUCCUUCCACCUCAUGGCCUUGCCUCUCUCCAUGUAAAAGUACAGUUUUUAGCAGUCUGUGCAGGGAAUUUCCACCCAUUACACCUGAAGCAAUCAAGAAAGAGGAAUUUCAGGUGCUGUCUCAGGAUGUCCUCACACCACAAAUGCAUUUAUUGUGCUGUUAUCCAAAGGGAUCUCUCUGCACUAGAAUAUACUCCCAGGAGGCAGUUGCUCACUCACCGAGGGAGAACUGUGCAAAGCAUAACCACUGACCCAUGCUGAUCUUCCCGUCACUGCUGAAAUUUCCUACCAGUGAUAUCCUCCAGCAACAGAGCUCGGAGGAAAAGUCUGAUGAAGGAUAUGCACUUCUAUCUUCAAUGUAACUGUUGAAGCAGGCCGAGGCAGAUCUCACACCAGAAUCAUGAGAGAGAAA